rnacentral:rRNA from 1 species
UACGUAGGUGGCAAGCGAUACUCGGAAUCACUAGGCGUAAAGCGCAGGUAGGCGGUUUGGUAAGUCUUUUGUGAAAGCUCCCGGCUCAACUGGGAGAGGUCAAGGGAAACUACCAGACUAGAGUGUGGUAGGGGAUACUGGAAUUCCUGGUGUAGCGGUGAAAUGCGUAGAUAUCAGGAGGAAUACCUAUGGCGAAAGCAGGUAUCUGGGCCAUCACUGACGCUGAGCUGCGAAAGCUAGGGGGAGCAAACAGG